GAUGAAGAACGCAGCGAAAUGCGAUAAGUAAUGUGAAUUGCAGAAUUCAGUGAAUCAUCGAAUCUUUGAACGCACAUUGCGCCCGCCAGUAUUCUGGCGGGCAUGCCUGUUCGAGCGUCAUUUCAACCAUCAAGCCCCAGGCUUGUGUUGGGGACCUGCGGCUGCCGCAGGCCCUGAAAACCAGUGGCGGGCUCGCUGUCACACCGGGCGUAGUAGAUUUUAUCUCGCUCAGGGCGUGCUGCGGGUUCCGGCCGUUAAAAAGCCUUUUUUACCCAAGGUUGACCUCGGAUCAGGUAGGAAGACCCGCUGAACUUAAGAAUAUCAAUAAGCGGAGGA
rnacentral:misc_RNA from 1 species